ACCAGAGGAGAGAGAAAACAUGAUAAAAUUAUGCAAAUUCAAUCAUGAUUUUCCGAUCGAAUUUGAAGAAGAUUGAAGAAGAUUUGAAGGCUGCCAAAAAUCCAUAAGAUCGAAGAAGAGAAAAAGAGGAUGAGGAAGAUUUGCGAUCGGAUGCAAAAGGCGAUAAAAUUCUGCAUAUUCGAGCUUGAAUUUCCCUCAUGAUUGAUCUUCACUGCAAUUUAGGUAUCAGGUGUUGUAGCAGCUACCACUAGUGAUUUCAUCACUUGAUGCAUAUAUGGAAAAUGAUUUACAUAGCAUUCCUCAUUUAAAGACUUAUUCCCUCUGAACAGGUAAGUCACUCUGACCUCCUUUCCCCUAGAUAAUCACAAAGGAAAUUUGUCUGGUAUCAUGCUUUAGAAUUACUUCAUCACUUUUGGCUGGAGUUAUGCUGUUGGGUUUGGCUUCGAUAUCCAUACAUGCCUUUGUCUAAUGAAUCGGAUUUGGAUUUUCUCUAAGAUUUGUGUAUAAGCUUGUAAACUUCUAGAGCAUUGAUGCCAUUUCUUUCAAAAAGUGCAUCAGACCUAGGUGGA